CUUAAGAUGAGAUAUCCCAUUCGUUAAGAAGUAAACCCCCUUGAAGACGACGAGGUAGAUAGGGCAGAGGUGGAAGUGUGGCAACACAUGGAGCUGACUGUUACUAAUCGGGUGAGGGCUUGACCAAG
rnacentral:rRNA from 1 species